rfam:Salmo salar isolate Sally breed double haploid chromosome ssa21, whole genome shotgun sequence.
GUCCCUGGUUCAGGUGGUAGAGCAUGGUGCUUGCAACGCCAGGGUUGUGGGUUUGAUUCCCACAGGGGACC